rnacentral:tRNA from 1 species
GGAGAGGUGCCGGAGUGGCCGAACGGGCUCGCCUGGAAAGCGAGUGUACCCUUCACGGGGUACCGAGGGUUCGAAUCCCUCCCUCUCCG